AUAGUACGAACAUUUUUGUAGUGUAAGUAAGUAAUUGACGUGAAAUUAGAUUGAAUAAUAUGUAAUUAAAUAACAUAGCAAAAGUUUUAAUAACAGAAAUAUGG